rnacentral:piRNA from 1 species
UGCUUGUGUGUUCUUCCGCCAAUGUG